rnacentral:lncRNA from 1 species
GCAAAUAUUUACUAAACACUAUGAUGUCAAGUGGUACAUGUGCAGAAGUAUCUUUUAUCUAGGGGUGUGGGACACAUCUUUGUCAGCAUUUGAAACUACAUUUGAGCAUGAUGGUGGAUAAAAGGAACAAUUCACUUCUCCAUAGGUUUUCAGCUGUAUAGCUGCUCAAAUAUGGAUUUAGGUGGAAUGUGUUCAACUAAGAUUCCCACAAAUUGAAGUGGGACUUUGAAACCACUGCUACCAUGAAGAUAACUCAAGUACCAUGCUUAGGGAAUUUGCCAUCUACUGGGGGCACCCACCCAUGGUAUAAGGCUGGUGGAGAAUGAGGGCUAAAGGGAACCUCAUAAGUCUAGAAGUUCUCUGUGGAGUUGGCUGCCUAGGGGUUGGCUGCCUAGAGCAGGCUUCUAAACUCUCUAGGUUACUAGAAUCUCCCUAGAGAUUCUGUUUCUAGGGAGUCUAAAAGGAUAUACACCUUAAGAAUUAGACAACACGAACAGUUAAUAC